GCUGGGCGUUGUGGUGGGUGCCUAUAGUCCCAGAUACUUGGGAGGCUGAGGCAAGAGGAUCGCUUGAGCCCAAGACUUUGAGGUUGCUGUGAGCUAUGAGGCCACAGCACUCUUAAAAAAAAAAAAAAAUUAGGAAGCCUGUACUCCAGGGUUGUAAUCAUAGCUAAUUUUUUCUUUUUUUUUUUUUUUAAGAGACAGAGUCUCACUUUGUUGCCCUUGGUAGGGUGCAGUGGCAUCACAGCUCACAGCAACCUCCAGCUCUUGGGCUUUAGGUGAUCCUCUUGCCACUG
rnacentral:SRP_RNA from 1 species